AUGGCCAACGGCAGAGGCAAAGACGGGGCGAACGGUGGAGGCGGAAUUGGAGACGGAGCGGACGGCGAAGGCGGAGACGGCGACCUUCUCGUAGUUCCUCUGUCCUCAUCAAACUAUCGUGCAGAGGAAAGGGAAGGCGCCACCCUCGACCUACUAAUCUUCGUCGUCGUUCUCUUGCUCCGGCGCGUUUCUAAUCACCUCCUAUUUCUCCUACCUCUUCCAGUCCUUAACCUUAAUUCUCCCCCCUUUCUCCUCAAUCGUCUCCCAUUUCUACCACCACAUUACUUCCGACCCCCAAUCCCAGUUAAUCUUCUUCCUUCUAUUCGCCGUCUCGUUUUUACUCUUCGUCGGCGCUUUCGAGAUCUGCUGCGGGCACAGGUCGCGGCGGUGUGGGCGGAAUGGCUGCAGGGGGCUGAAGAGGUCGAUGGAGUUCGAUUUGCAGCUCCAGGGUGAGGAAUUGCUCCGCUCCGGCGACCGGAGUAAGUCGGUGAGGGAUGUGAACGAAUUGCCGUGGAAAGGUGGGAGUGAGGAGAACCCUGAUUACGAGUGUCUGCGCGCCGAGUUGAGGAAGAUGGCCCCGCCUAACGGCCGCGCCGUGCUUCUCUUCUGCCUGAGAUGCGGCUGCCCUAUUUCGAAACUCGAAGGUUGGGGCCCCAAGCGCGGCCGGAGAAACAAGAAGUGAUUGUCGCGUGUGAUGUUCGGUUCGGUUCGACUCUUCUCUUUUUAGGAGUUUGGGUCGUGCUGGUGGAGGUGACGAUCGACGACUGCGGUGGAUUUAGGUUUAGCGCUUUUGAGUCCCGUCUCCUGUUUCUUGUUUUACCAUUGGUUUCGUUUUCUUUCUAAAAUAGCUUAUCUUUCUGUCUGACUGACUGUGUUCAUGAAGAACUUAAAUACUUAUAUUAAUACAUAUCCAUAUUCUCGUGGGAGCUCUUCGCUAUCUGUUA